AGCCCAAGAUAAUAUUUACUAACUCUGAGCACAUUCAAUAGCUAGAGAUUUUUUUUCUUUUAGUGGGGCCACUGCUCCUUUUGUUUGAAGACAGAGCAAAGCUGUGAAUAAUGCCUAAGAGCAAAACUAAACCAGAAGUAAAUGACUUUUUUAAUGUGAGACCUUCAACCUCAAUUCCAGUUCCCCAGAGGCCAUCUUUGACUCCUUCUCAUGAAAAGCUCUCACAGAUGUCAACUGGGGAUAAAGAUACUUCCACAAAGAAACUGAUGAAGAAACUGCUGCAGAGAAAGGGUUAGCUUCCUGGAGCAAGCUUACUCGUCUGUACUGGUCCCAGGACCUGAACUAGGUGCAGACCGUCUUCAGAUCUGUCCAGUCCGACGUCUAGAAACCAGACCUCACAGAAAUACACGAGUCUCCUGUGCUGUGUUCUCACUCUGACUCCUUUCAUGCUCUGCUCUUUUUUUCCUUAGUCCACUGUACCCUCCUGUAUCUCUUCCAACCUAGACAAUUCUAUGAUUAUGAUUCUAUCUAUGCAUUCUUGUUUGAUACACAGCUAAUUCAGACUCGCUCUUGCUCCCUUUCAAAUCAAUAACAAAACUCCACUUGAAGCUCAGGACACUUUUCUGGUGAUAACAUUUUUAGCCUUUCUAGUUAUAAAAAUGGUCUAUUAAAA